rfam:Lutzomyia longipalpis Contig18128, whole genome shotgun sequence.
GCAGUCGUGGCCGAGUGGUUAAGGCGUCUGAUUUAAGCUCAGAUUCGCUCUGCGAUCGUAGGUUCGAAUCCUGCCGACUGCG